CAGCCGCGCGGUAAUACCGGCGGCCCGAGUGGCGGCCACUAUUAUUGGGCUUAAAGCGUCCGUAGCCGGGUUGGUUAGUCUCCCGGGAAAUCUGGCCGCUUAACGGUCAGAAUUCCGGGAGAUACUGCCAGCCUAGGGACCGGGAGAGGCCGAGGGUAUUCCCGGAGUAGGGGUGAAAUCCUAUAAUCCCGGGAGGACCACCUGUGGCGAAGGCGCUCGGCUGGAACGCGUCCGACGGUGAGGGACGAAGGCCAGGGGAGCAAACCGGAUUAGAUACCCGGGUAGUCCUGGCUGUAAACGAUGCGGACUUUGUGUCGGACAAGCUAUGAGCUUGUCCGGUGCCGGAGGGAAACCGUUAAGUCCGCCGCCUGGGGAGUACGGCCGCAAGGCUGAAACUUAAAGGAAUUGGCGGG
rnacentral:rRNA from 1 species